rnacentral:rRNA from 1 species
GAAUCUGUUCCUUUCAAGUUGAUACACCCGAUCCCUCGAUCUCGGAAUCCCGAAGUUAAGCAACGUGCAGUCGGACCAGUACUUGGAUGGGAGACCACCAAGGAAGACUGGAUGCUGUAGUCG